rnacentral:lncRNA from 1 species
GCGAAGUCUUCAAGGGGGAGCUGCCAGACAAACGUGUGGUAGCCGUCAAGUGCUUGAAAAACGUCGCGGGAGGUGACCGUGACUUUUGGGCGGAGGUCACCAUCAUCGCGAGGAUGCACCAUCUUAACUUGCUUCGAUUAUGGGGAUUCUGCGCAGAAAAGGGUCAGAGAAUUUUAGUAUACGAACAUAUCCCGAAUGGAUCGCUGGACAAAUUCCUGUUUGUGAAGCAUUCACCUUCCGAUUCGGAGAAGGAGGAAAGAGAGACGGAAGAAGAAAGGUCACCGCUGGAUUGGAGCAUACGGUACCGAAUCGCCAUCGGAGUAGCGAGAGCAAUCGCGUACUUGCACGAGGAAUGCUUGGAAUGGGUGUUGCAUCGAGACAU